AGCCUGAUCCAGCCAUGCCGCGUGCAGGAUGAAGGCCUUCGGGUUGUAAACUGCUUUUGUACGGAACGAAAAGACUCCUUCUAAUAAAGGGGGUCCAUGACGGUACCGUAAGAAUAAGCACCGGCUAACUACGUGCCAGCAGCCGCGGUAAUACGUAGGGUGCAAGCGUUAAUCGGAAUUACUGGGCGUAAAGCGUGCGCAGGCGGUUAUAUAAGACAGAUGUGAAAUCCCCGGGCUCAACCUGGGAACUGCAUUUGUGACUGUAUAGCUAGAGUACGGUAGAGGGGGAUGGAAUUCCGCGUGUAGCAGUGAAAUGCGUAGAUAUGCGGAGGAACACCGAUGGCGAAGGCAAUCCCCUGGACCUGUACUGACGCUCAUGCACGAAAGCGUGGGGAGCAAACAGGAUUAGAUACCCUGGUAGUCCACGCCCUAAACGAUGUCAACUGGUUGUUGGGUCUUCACUGACUCAGUAACGAAGCUAACGCGUGAAGUUGACCGCCUGGGGAGUACGGCCGCAAGGUUGAAACUCAAAGAAAUUUGACGGA
rnacentral:rRNA from 1 species